UAGCGACCAUUAGCCUCAAUGCUAACGGUCGCUUUAUAAAUUGUCUAAAACUGGUCCUAAGGCUGUGUCUAAGAUGACUUACGAGGACUUAACAUAUAAAUGUAUUCAUGCUGGUCUCUGCUUAGUUAAAACUGUUAGUUCCAGCCUCUGUUCAGUUAGUUUAACCACGAAUAAUGUUAUGAGUGGUAAAAGCUGUUUCUAUGCGUGUAUUCAUGGCUACCACUGACGUCACGUCGACGAGACCGCCGCCAUAUUUGUCCAAUUUGACAGUUCUCCUCAGUUUCGCUAUGGCGGUACACACCUCACACUUGAACUGGGUCCUGUGAAAUAACACAAACCACAUCAUGUUCAUGUCUCUGUAACUGAGACAUUAUAAUAAAUCUAUUUAAAUUCUUGAAUGUAAAUGAUCAGAGAGACAGAGACAGCUGAUAAUGAGCAUUACUCUCCCUGUGUUCUGUGGUUCAGGUAGAUUCAGUCUUUACACUCAGAUAACUAACACUGUCUUUUUUCAGACUGAGAGAGAAACCUGAUUGCUGCUUUGGCUGACUACCUGAACUCUGACCCCUGCUCCUGCUCUGACUGACCCAGAGAGAACUCAGACGCAGAGAGAACCGGACCAGAACUCCUGCUUGGCUGGUGAUCAGAUUUUUAGUCACUGAGGUUCAGUCCAUCACAUCACUGAGUAUAGGAGUGUUUCACAUUUUAAUCACAGAGUUUUUGUGGUUUAUCACAACUGCUGAGUUCACACAUGAAUAUAAAUGUAGUGAAAACAGACCUGUAAACACUGACUGAAGUUAGAGCCAUGUGAGCUGAGCUGUUCUGCCUGUAUAGUGGAUCAGAACAGGUCCCAGCAGCAGAGUCUGACAGUAGAAAGCUGACAGUUGAAAGCUGACAGUUUUAAUGGAACAUCACUAAAGGCAGAAAUCAGUGUGUAAAGUGAGCAGAACAUGUUGUGCAGUGAUCAGUUCUGUAUUGUUCUGCUUCAUGUUGAACAAGUCAGUGGGUCUUGAGAUUAUUUUAAUCAAGUCCACAUU